rnacentral:rRNA from 1 species
UACGUAGGGUGCAAGCGUUGUCCGGAAUUAUUGGGCGUAAAGAGCUCGUAGGCGCUUGUCGCGUCGGCUGUGAAAACCUGGGGCUCGAACCCCGGGCCUGCAGCCGAUACGGGCAAGCUAGAAUUCGGUAGGGGAGACUGGAAUUCCUGGGUGUAGCGGUAGUGAAAUGCGCAGAUAUCAGGAGGAACACCGGUGGCGAAGGCGGUUCUCUGGGCAUGUCCUGACGCUGGAGGAGCGAAAGUGUGGGGAGCGAACAGG